CCUACGGGAGGCAGCAGUGGGGAAUAUUGCACAAUGGGGGAAACCCUGAUGCAGCGACGCCGCGUGAGUGAAGAAGUAUUUCGGUAUGUAAAGCUCUAUCAGCAGGGAAGAAAAUGACGGUACCUGCCUAAGAAGCCCCGGCUAACUACGUGCCAGCAGCCGCGGUAAU
rnacentral:rRNA from 1 species